rnacentral:rRNA from 1 species
AGCAGCCGCGGUAAUUCCAGCUCCAAUAGCGUAUAUUAAAGUUGUUGCAGUUAAAAAGCUCGUAGUUGAAUUUCGGGGUCAGCAGGUUGGUCGUGCCACUGGUAUGUACUGGCUUUGCUGAUUCCUCCUUCUUGUAGAACCGUAAUGCCAUUAAUUUGGUGUUGCGGGGAAACAGGACUGUUACUUUGAAAAAAUUAGAGUGUUUAAAGCAGGCUAACGCUUGAAUACAUUAGCAUGGAAUAAUGAAAUAGGACGAGCGAUCCUAUUUUGUUGGUUUCUAGGAUUGACGUAAUGAUUAAUAGGGAUAGUUGGGGGCAUUAGUAUUCAAUUGUCAGAGGUGAAAUUCUUGGAUUUAUUGAAGACUAACUACUGCGAAAGCAUUUGCCAAGGAUGUUUUCACUAAUCAAGAACGAAAGUUAGGGGAUCGAAGACGAUCAGAUACCGUCGUAGUCUUAACCAUAAACUAUGCCGACUAGGGAUCGGAUGAUGUUAAUUUAUAAUGACUCAUUCGGCGUACCCG